CUUUUCAGAAGUUUAGACAUU
rnacentral:piRNA from 1 species